CCUGCUGCACGACGCAGUUCCAUGAAGCGGCGUCGAACGUCUCUCCCAGCCAACAGGCCAGGAUGGCGCCGCUCACAUGGUCGCGCAGCGCGCAAGAGGUAAGGUACAACAGCUUAGCCACUAUGCAUUCACAGGCUGUUCCUAAGUCCUUUACUCCUGCCCCCUUAGUCACGAAGCAGUAUCCGCCACCGGCACCACCCGUGGCGAACAACUCAAAACGCACUCACACACCGCUAGAUGACAAUAUUCUCUUGCGCAAAAUCUCCGACAUGCCUGUCGGCACUUUUUUCAACCUGCUUUGUCAGCAGGGGCUGCCUUCCACCGGCGGCCCCUUAGACGCUAAACCCCAUCCCCC
rnacentral:lncRNA from 1 species